AGUUGCAGAAACACUGAAGUUAUCAAAAGGAGAAUGACAGAGGGUGUCAUAGUGCGUAGACUAGGCUUAUAGUAUCUCCCAGCCUUAAUGUUGCAAGUAUGAUGGCUUGAUACCAUUGGGACCUAGAGUUAAAUUGAAUUACCUCUGGCAUCGACUAGGUUUGCCUGUUUCUAUUGUGCAGGUUUUGUUGGGUACAGGUGGUAUGAUUUCUCCUGCUUGGCUCUUGUUAUAUGGAGAAUUUGGAAGGACGUGUCUUCAUAUGCAGGUGAUUGAAGAAGCUACCUAAUUUGAUUGUGUGAUCCCAUCUUCUGGACUUUAUGGUGCCCUGCUUCCGUGGAGUGUUUUUCGAUGGUCUGGUUCCUGGAAUAUCAAUUGAUCUUUAUUAUAGUAGGACUUUCCGAUUUCCUCUGAUCAAUAUAGAUCUCCACAACUCAACUUAACUUUUCCACAGGGUUCUAGUUGUACAUUACUACCGUCCGCUA